rnacentral:lncRNA from 1 species
GUGGAUAGGUGUAUUUCUGGUAUUUGUGGCUAAUUUAUAUUUCUUAGGGAAUAACUCUCUAUUGAAACUUUUUAAGAAAGACAUGGGCUAUAUUUAUUAUUCAUUUUUUCCUUUUUUAACAGGGAGGCGGGCAUCUAGUACCCAUUGUUUUAAUUAUUGGGACACUUGUACUCCCAUCUCUUCUUUUAUAUUUGUGCAUAGCCACAUGUAUCCUUUAAAUACAAUAAAUGAUUAGAG